rnacentral:lncRNA from 1 species
GAGUCCUUCCUUGGAGAGUGUCCUAGGCCUGGCGGGUUCGUUUAUCUUUUUUCUUUCUCCAGAAUGGAGUGGAAGACACUCUGUCUGAGACCUCAGUUUCAUCUCUGCCUGGAAUAGUCAAGAAGCUCCAUUGAUGCUUGUAAGGGAUUUUCUGCUAGAAUUGAGUCUUCUGUCCCAAAGAACUGUCAGAAGUGACAGAAAUGCACAAGUGGGAGGAGAAAUGUGAUCAGUCACUCAUAAGAGAAAAUGAAAUGAAUGGCUGCAGUAGGAUCACAUACAAUUGGAAGUGUCUUCAGGAAAUGGGAAAAUAUAUCAGAGGUGAAGUGGAGCUGUCUGGCUAAAAUCCUUCCAAUGACAAGAUCCAUGAGUGUCAGUGUAUCUCACUGGGAGUUUUUCCAAAGUAUUUCAAUAAAGCUUUUUGAACAUGGAGAAGAUGAAAAAAACUCACUGCAUUCUCUCCAAUUCACCCCAAUAUAUC